AGUCGAGCGGACAGAUGGGAGCUUGCUCCCUGAUGUUAGCGGCGGACGGGUGAGUAACACGUGGGUAACCUGCCUGUAAGACUGGGAUAACUCCGGGAAACCGGGGCUAAUACCGGAUGGUUGUUUGAACCGCAUGGUUCAAAAUAAAAGGUGGCUUCGGCUACCACUUACAGAUGGACCCGCGGCGCAUUAGCUAGUUGGUGAGGUAAGGCUCACCAAGGCRACGAUGCGUAGCCGACCUGAGAGGGUGAUCGGCCACACUGGGACUGAGACACGGCCCAGACUCCUACGGGAGGCAGCAGUAGGGAAUCUUCCGCAAUGGACGAAAGUCUGACGGAGCAACGCCGCGUGAGUGAUGAAGGUUUUCGGAUCGUAAAGCUCUGUUGUUAGGGAAGAACAAGUACCGUUCGAAUAGGGCGGUACCUUGACGGUACCUAACCAAAAGCCACGGCUAACUACGUGCCAGCAGCCGCGGUAAUACGUAGGUGGCAAGCGUUGUCCGGAAUUAUUGGGCGUAAAGGGCUCGCAGGCGGUUUCUUAAGUCUGAUGUGAAAGCCCCCGGCUCAACCGGGGAGGGUCAUUGGAAACUGGGGAACUUGAGUGCAGAAAGGAGAGUGGAAUUCCACGUGUAGCGGUGAAAUGCGUAGAGAUGUGGAGGAACACCAGUGGCGAAGGCGACUCUCUGGUCUGUAACUGACGCUGAGGAGCGAAAGCGUGGGGAGCGAACAGGAUUAGAUACCCUGGUAGUCCACGCCGUAAACAUGAGUGCUAAGUGUUAGGGGGUUUCCGCCCCUUAGUGCUGCAGCUAACGCA
rnacentral:rRNA from 1 species